rnacentral:rRNA from 1 species
AUGGCUCUCGCCUCGCCUCAUCCUGCCUCUGGGACUGGGGGAGGGGAGCGCUCCACCCCUCCCUCCGGUGACCCGCUGCGCGACAAGGUGGCGGUGGUGGCACUUAUCUCCAAGGCCAAGGGUUCCAAGGCGGCUACGGUAGGUCCCCGUCGUUCCAGCGUGAGGCCAAAGGGCCCCAAGGGCGAUCUCUCCUCUCUCGAAAGCGCAGAGUUGCUGAUAGCAAAGAAGAACCUCGAGCUCACAGGUAACAAAGUUUUAAGAUAUUCCAUUCUAGAUGCUUUCUCUGAUGAUCACAUGCUCGGGUUUUUGGAUGAUUGUGGGGUUGAUUCUUCGUGCGCGGGCUCCUCUGAAGAUCUUCUUUCUCUCAUUCAAUCGAAGGAGCUGGUGCAAGCUGCCUUAGCGAAGGUAGCUGCGGCUAAGACUGCGACGGCUGGCAUGCAAGUAGGGGCUUCCGUUCCCAAUUCAAUGGUGCCCACUGCCCAUGGAAGAAGGGGUGGUGGCUGGGGCUGCUGCUCUUUCCUCUCCUCGCUGUACUGGCACGGUGAGGCGCGUGGCCAAAUCUUAGAAAACGUAUUAUCUAGAUGA